GACGAACGCUGGCGGCGUGCUUAACACAUGCAAGUCGAACGGAAAGGCCCGGCGUUUGUGGCGCUCACGAUAGGCGAAGGCGUGAGUGACACAUGAGUAACCCGCCCUUAACUUUGUGAGAACAUCACGAAAAAGCGGAUCAUACCCGAUAUGAUCUCCUGCACCGCAGUGUUCAUUAGAAAGAGACGGCGGUUCGGGAUCUUAUCGCGGCGUCUUCGCCUGUUGGUAGGGUAGUGGCUUACCAAGGCUAUGAUGGGUAGCCGACCUGAGAGGGUGAUCGGCCACACUGGAACUGAGCCACGGUCCCGACUCCGACGGGAGGCAGCAGUAGGGACUCUUCCGCAAUGGGCGAAAGCCUGACGGAGCAACGCCGCGUGAGUGAUGAAGGUCUUCGGAUCGUAAAACUCUGUUAUUAGGGAAGAACAAAUGUGUAAGUAACUAUGCACGUCUUGACGGUACCUAAUCAGAAAGCCACGGCUAACUACGUG
rnacentral:rRNA from 1 species